rnacentral:rRNA from 1 species
CUGGGCUUGACAUGUUAGUCGUAGAUUUGUGAAAGCUUAUCGUCACUUCGGGUGGACUAUCACAGGUGCUGCAUGGCUGUCGUCAGCUCGUGUCGUGAGAUGUUGGGUUAAGUCCCGUAACGAGCGCAACCCCUAUGAACUGUUGCCAGCGGGUAAUGCCGGGGACUCUGUUCAGACUGCCCAGAUUAACUGGGAGGAAGGAGGGGAUGACGUCAAGUCAGUAUGGCCCUUACGCCCAGGGCUGCACACGUGCUACAAUGUCCAGUACAAUGUGAACCGAGACCGCGAGGUGGAGGAAAUCUAUAAAACUGGGCUCAGUUCGGAUUGUAGGCUGCAACUCGCCUACAUGAAGUUGGAAUCGCUAGUAAUGG